UACGAAGGGGGCUAGCGUUGCUCGGAAUCACUGGGCGUAAAGCGCACGUAGGCGGAUUGCUAAGUCAGGGGUGAAAUCCUGGAGCUCAACUCCAGAACUGCCUUUGAUACUGGUGAUCUUGAGUCGGAGAGGUGAGUGGAACUGCGAGUGUAGAGGUGAAAUUCGUAGAUAUUCGCAAGAACACCAGUGGCGAAGGCGGCUCACUGGCCCGGUACUGACGCUGAGGUGCGAAAGCGUGGGAGCAA
rnacentral:rRNA from 1 species